CGCGCCUCUUUGCAAAACAGUUACCCAACAUCACUUAAGCGGAAACAGCGACGACUUCCGUGUCAACUUUCAGCACAGUUAUCACGAACUCUGUGCUUAUCUAGUUAUGAUGCACAUGUAUUUUCAGCUUUGAAAAAGUUGCUUCCAUUCAUGCAGAAUGGUGUUUUACUUCACGAGUGCAGGUGAGAAGCUGAGCUUGUCUUUUAGCUGGCUAGCCCGUACAUAGUUAGUUAACGUUAGGUAGUUAGCAGAUGAGCUAACUAGAGAAUCUUCUUGAAUCGUUUUGUUAACGAGCAACGUUUGAUGUCUUGUGAGAGAGCUUUCAUGUCAAAUCAUCUAAAUAGUUUGUUUUUGUUUACAUUCAGGCCAGCAGAGGAAACGUUAGUCUGUGCCUUCUCCCUACAGUUUUCAGCCAUUAACGUUAGUUUCGCCCAGGACUGGCUCAUGUGAACUACAAUCCCGACGCUGUUUUAACGUUUAGAAACGUCAAUAAUCAUAGUUUGCAAUAUGGCAUUUGAAACAUAUGUCCCUUUGAUCAGCGAGAAAGACUCCUUCAAAUAAAAAUAAAAAAUACACACUUACUGUAGCAGUUAUACACAGAUCCAUGUCUGGCUGGCCCAAUCCCAUUUUCCAGCUGCUCCCCAGAGCACAUUUGCUCAUCACCCCAGGGCUGACAUUCUAGAGCAGACCAAUAAGGUUUGUGGAUACCAGGAGACCCUGAGACGGUUCAUACCGCCUCCUCAGGCCCCGGGUCCAAGGCAGACGGAUUGUUGCCACCCACCUGCACCCGAACGACGGUGGGGUCCCUCUCCUGCCCCAUCGCCUCGUGCUAAGGGUCGACAGCAGGGAGGGGCACAUCGUGAGGUGAAGCAACAGCCUGUUUUUCCCACGUGGGUCUUCCCUGAUUUUUGCAGAGGUACUGAGUAAUUUAUCCCUCACCGGGUUCCUAUUCCUCCAAGCGGGUCACGACAUAAGCUCUCCCAGGGCUUCGUGGCCUUGUUGGCUUGGCUGAGCUUAUGGCUUGUCUUUGUGACAGGUGUGAUGGUGUCCACCGUCACCGCCAUUGGGACGUGCCUGGGGGACCCAUGCGCUCUGGGUGCCAGAGGAGAGGCUGGCCCCAGCAGGUCAUCUGACACACCCCUCCUCUGCUUCUUCUCCCAGUCUCUUUGGGCUCUGGGAUGUCUAGCGUCUCUAUGCGCAGCACACGUACCUGGCAUCCUAAAUGUGGCAGCAGAUAUGCUCUUGAAGUAGGGCCCACCACCUUGAGACUGGAGCCUACAUCCCCAGGUGGUGCAGCAUCUGUGGGACAAAUUCGGGAGGGCGCAAGUGGACCUGUUUGCCUCCUUGGACAAUGCACACUGCCACCUGUGGUACUCCAUGCCGGAGCCACCAGGACCUCUGUGCUUGGAUGCUCUGGCUCACGAUUGGCCAGGGCUGGAGCUUACACAUUCCCCCCUUUUCCCCUGAUCCAGGCUGUGCUGGACAGGACCAGGAUGGCAGAGCAUUGUCUGCUGCUGGUGGCCCCAUACUGGCCCAGACAACCCUGGUUCAGCCUUCUCCUGUCCCUGUUGUCUGGGACACCUUGGCAACUUCCCUUGAAACCGGACCUGCUGUCUCAGGUCAGGGGAACUCUGUGGCAUCCAAGGCCGCACCGCCUCAGUCUGUGGGCUUGGCCACUGGUCCAUGUUAGGACUACAGGAGGGUGUAAUGAACACCAUGCAGAGCGCAAGGGCGCUGGCUACAUCUGCUGCAUACCAGUUGCUCUGGGCGGUUGUUCUGCUCUUAGUGUACUGGUAUUGAGGUUGUGCCCGAGUAAUGCUGGGUGCAGUAAUGUCCUCCAAUAUCUGUAGUCUUGCUUCUAUGAGGGUUUGGCAGCCUCUACCCUGAGAGGGUAUUUGGUCGCUAUAUCUGCCUGCCAUGUGGAGUGGAUGGAGAAGCCAUAGGGGCGCCAUCCCUUGGUCUCCGGGUUUAUGAAAGGGGUUCGUCCCGUGCGUCCAGCUAGGACCUGCUCAGUGGCGAGAUGGGAUCUGGAUGUGGUAUUGGCAGGUUUGACAAAGCCGCCUUUCGAACAGUUGGAGUCAGCCUCCCUGAAACACCUCUCUAUGAAGGUGGUUUUCUUGGUAGCGAUUACUUCCAUGAAGAGGGUGGGUGAGCUCCAUGCUCUUUCAGUAAGUGUUGAGUGCUACCGGAUGGACCCUGGGGGGAAGAGUAUAUAUCUCCGCCCCAACCCUCCAUUCCUCCCAAAGGUUCUGUCAGACAGACAUGUGAACAUCUCUUUUUAUCCUGUCUGCUUACGACCCCCGCCUCCCCGGCAGUGGCGGGGGGGUCUGGGCCUCCCUCCGGCAUGCUGUGCCUUGUGAGGGCACUGGCUGCCUAUGGGGAGCGGACACGGUCAGUGAGAACAACAGACCAGCUCUUUGUCUCACUGGAUCAUGGACACAAUUACGACAGCAUACUGCCUGGCUGGCAGGCCAGUGCUGGGAUCUGUGGUGGCACAUUCAACAUGAGAUGUGGCUGCGUCCUGGGCUCUACUGAGAGGAGUGCCCCUCGCUGAUAUCUGUGCUGCGGCCAACUGGGCUUCCUCUUGCACCUUUGCAAGAUAUUGGGUAAAUGUGGAACCUCCCUCUCCGGUUGGUUCAGCGGUCCUGGGUUUCGCCUCCCCUUCCGGGGACUGUGCCGGGACCCACCCUUCCACAUUGACUGCCCCAGCGUCUCGGUCCCUCUCUGGGACUUUGACUCUGGCUUGCCUAGGUCCUUCUAGCACCGACUAAUCUGGUACUGGUAUACCAACAUAUUGGAGUGAUCCAAUAUAGUGAAACAUAAUGAAGGUUACGUAUGUAACCACGGUUAUGUGAACUAUAUGGAUCAUUCCAAUCCUCUACGUGCUAGAGGCGCCUUAGAAAUUAUGUUGAGAACAUGUGUCACGGCCAUGGUGUCUAUAUAUAGGGGCGAACCCCAGCCGUGUCUCGGGUGUACACGGAAGUACAUCUGUAAAUCUUCACCUCGGAUGUAUCCCUCCGCUGCAGAGUGAUAUCAAUAUAUUGGAGUGAUCCAUAUAGCUCACAUAACCGUGGUUACAUACGUAAUCUUCGGUGUAUAUGAUCCUCAAAAAACAAUGAGGAGAUGGGAGAGGCCGGACUUGCAGCGCGUUGAGCGUCACAAAUUGAACAAAUUUAUAUUUUAGCUCAUGCCCACGCAGAUACUCGCUGACGCCGGUGAGCAAUGUGGGUGCAAUAAGUGAAUAACAUGUAUGUGUACAUUUAUUUUGCAACGCUCGUACAUGAGCGGUGUGGUCAGCAUGUUAUGCUUCACGGAGCAGAGCUGAUGUCAAGGAAGUGAGUUUGUGUUUAUAUACAGGACCCCCCGCCCGCCCCCACCUACCAUCAAUCAAUCAAUCAAUCAAUCAUGUCAAUGCGGAGCUAUACUGAGCCCACAGCAUUGUUUUGGGAGGCGGUGGGCACACAGGACAUUGGUACAGGACAUUGAUACAGAGCUCAAUUUGGCCCCUGCGUGCCUCUGGAGGCUCUGCAAUUGCGUCACACCCUCCUUACGAAGUCUCCGACCACAUUUUCAUUUUUCGGAUCAAGCAUAAAUUGGCUCUUACGCUUACUUACAGGUUUUCUGAUCACGCUAGAUAGCUAAUUAGCAUAUCGCUGCUUGUCUGUUUACCGUAAACAAGCGCAGUAACAUGGAGAUGUGAUCGUGUGGGAAAACUAACACUAUCACGGUGUGUAUCAAUUUAACCUUUUUGUUUUUUCAAAAUAAUUUCUCACUGAUAUGAAAGAUAAGUUCCUUAUGCUUCCAAAACCAAACCACAAGUGACGCGUGUUAAUGGUAAGAAUAACGCUUCGAACACACCGACUGGGUUUGGCAUCACUGCUCAUAACAUUUUGCGCACCUAAGCAACUAUACUGAUGCAGGUACCUUUUGCAAAUUGUCGCAUGCAGUUGGACACAUGGAGGAGAUAAUCAUUUUCGCAGUAUCCUCAAAACCGUGUCUUUUUGACACAACUGCUGACAGCUACAGGGAUAUAAACACAAAAACAUGCUGCUUGGAGACAAGUGUCCACGAUAGUAGGAUUGCCAUGUCAGUUUAGUAGUGAGCUUGUGCUCGAUGUGGCUAGUUAGCGUUAGCUAGCUAGCUAACCUAGCCAAUGAGGUGUGUGUGAAAGAAAUAGUCAAAUUAUGCAAGUUACUACCCUUGAUAACUUAUCCAAAUAAUAAUGUUUGAAAGAGUGUGAGUGUGUAUGUUAGAUUAAUAGAAAUGGUAGAUACUACUGUACCCUGAUAAUUUGGUCAGAUAACUGUGUGUCUGUGUAGAGUAGGUGACAUGUCCAUGAUAGCUAUCUAAUAACUAUAGUUAUGCUAGGUAAUGGUUUGGCUUAUCACGUUCAUGUCUAUGUAGAAGAAGACUGUAGGAGGAAGUGGAGAGGACUCAGGGACAGGUAUCAGAGAGAGAGAAGGGCAGAGAAAGAUAAGAGGUCUGGGUCAGCAGCUUCAGGCCAGCAGCCUUGGCGCUUCUGCCACAUUCUUUUCUGGAUCCAUUUAUUGUGCCUCGGGCAACGAGUGGCAAUUUUACAGCCAGACCCUCUACUACGUCAUCCACAAGUGUUGUCGCCACUGGUGCAUCAAGACCCUCAAUGUCAUCUACAAGGGCGACCAUCACCUCCACCGGUGGAGUGAGACCCUCAACAUCAUCAUCCAUGAGUAUGACCACUACCAGUGCAGCCAUGGAAGAUGAUGAAAUGGAGGAAGCACCUCUGGAUCUAGCACCACCUGAGAUUAUUAUGAACCUCACGGAAGUGACCACUGAGGACCUCGUUGAACAGGAUGUGGCCGUGGAGAGAAACAGAGAAACGAAGAGGAACAACGUCACACCAGGCGUCAUCGGAGGUAACAGCCCCCAGAUCCACUCAACUCAUUUCAGCAGAGGCUCCUCCAAGCCGUCGAGCGGGAUGCAGCACAACCUGAUGAUCACAGGAAGGAGACCCUCUUUGCCAUGAGCCUGGUGCAGACACUGAAGAGGCUGCCUCAGCAAAGAAAAGCAGCAGUCAAGGUUAAAAUGUAUCAGCUGCUUUUCAAAGCCUAGUUCAAUGAGAUGGAGUCAAUUUAACAGACAAGCUCACAGGAAGAGGAAAGGAGUUGCCGGGGCCGACCAGCUCACAGGAAGGACAGGAAGAGGAGUUGUCUGGUUGUUGUUUUGACCUCCCUCAUUGUACCUUUCUUUUCACACAUGUCAUUUGUUUAUAAAGUCUUAGGAUAGCAUUCAUUAUUAGUGUUACAUAGAUUUCUGAAUUGAAACUCAUACAGAGUUUUCACAGAUGCUCUUGGUCUCUUACAAGACUAAAGGUCAAUAUAUUUCUUUCAUUUAAAACCACUUGAAAACCAGGGUGUUGAAACUUUUUGUGAAGUUAUGUUCCAUCGACUGGUCCGUGACUUCCAGGGGCCAUUUGUUUGUUUAGCUGCGUUAUGGCUACAUAUUAUUCCCUUUUUCUCAGAGACCGAGACACACCUCUUCAUACCUCAGAUCUCCAGUGCCCUGCCCUCUCUCUCUUUAUGGCCAUGUCUGAAGUUCCCCUACUACAGCUAGGAUUUAUGAGUAGUCCCUGUAUCGGUCUGCAGUUGUGCCAAAAAUACAUGCUCUUGCUGUUCUCUUACAGAUUACAGGCUACACAUUCAUUUAAAAACAUAUAUUUUUUUUUUACACGCGCACACACACACACCUCUUUCAAUAGUUUUAUUUUUUAAACGUUUUUACAAUACACAUACCUGUCAUGUUCUUUCCUGUACUUGAAUACUUAUUAAAUUAUGUUUUUUCUUA